rnacentral:tRNA from 1 species
AUGGAGGAUUAGCUCAGCUGGGAGAGCACCUGCCUUACAAGCAGGGGGUCGGCGGUUCGAUCCCGUCAUCCUCCAC